AGUCGACCCCUAAGGCGAGGCCGAAAGGCGUAGUCGAUGGGAAACGGGUUAAUAUUCCCGUACUUGGUGUUACUGCGAAGGGGGGACGGAGAAGGCUAUGUUGGCCGGGCGACGGUUGUCCCGGUUUAAGCGUGUAGGUGUGUGUUCCAGGUAAAUCCGGUUCACUUUAACACUGAGGCGUGAUGACGAGGCACUACGGUGCUGAAGCAACAAAUGCCCUGCUUCCAGGAAAAGCCUCUAAGCAUCAGGUAACAUCAAAUCGUACCCCAAACCGACACAGGUGGUCAGGUAGAGAAUACCAAGGCGCUUGAGAGAACUCGGGUGAAGGAACUAGGCAAAAUGGUGCCGUAACUUCGGGAGAAGGCACGCUGACACGUAGGUGAAGUGAUUUACUCAUGGAGCUGAAGUCAGUCGAAGAUACCAGCUGGCUGCAACUGUUUAUUAAAAACACAGCACUGUGCAAACACGAAAGUGGACGUAUACGGUGUGACGCCUGCCCGGUGCCGGAAGGUUAAUUGAUGGGGUCAGCGCAAGCGAAGCUCCUGAUCGAAGCCCCGGUAAACGGCGGCCGUAACUAUAACGGUCCUAAGGUAGCGAAAUUCCUUGUCGGGUAAGUUCCGACCUGCACGAAUGGCGUAAUGAUGGCCAGGCUGUCUCCACCCGAGACUCAGUGAAAUUGAACUCGCUGUGAAGAUGCAGUGUACCCGCGGCAAGACGGAAAGACCCCGUGAACCUUUACUAUAGCUUGACACUGAACAUUGAGCCUUGAUGUGUAGGAUAGGUGGGAGGCUUUGAAGUGUGGACGCCAGUCUGCAUGGAGCCGGCCUUGAAAUACCACCCUUUAAUGUUUGAUGUUCUAACGUGGACCCGUGAUCCGGGUUGCGGACAGUGUCUGGUGGGUAGUUUGACUGGGGCGGUCUCCUCCUAAAGAGUAACGGAGGAGCACGAAGGUUGGCUAAUCCUGGUCGGACAUCAGGAGGUUAGUGCAAUGGCAUAAGCCAGCUUGACUGCGAGCGUGACGGCGCGAGCAGGUGCGAAAGCAGGUCAUAGUGAUCCGGUGGUUCUGAAUGGAAGGGCCAUCGCUCAACGGAUAAAAGGUACUCCGGGGAUAACAGGCUGAUACCGCCCAAGAGUUCAUAUCGACGGCGGUGUUUGGCACCUCGAUGUCGGCUCAUCACAUCCUGGGGCUGAAGUAGGUCCCAAGGGUAUGGCUGUUCGCCAUUUAAAGUGGUACGCGAGCUGGGUUUAGAACGUCGUGAGACAGUUCGGUCCCUAUCUGCCGUGGGCGCUGGAGAACUGAGGGGGGCUGCUCCUAGUACGAGAGGACCGGAGUGGACGCAUCACUGGUGUUCGGGUUGUCAUGCCAAUGGCACUGCCCGGUAGCUAAAUGCGGAAGAGAUAAGUGCUGAAAGCAUCUAAGCACGAAACUUGCCCCGAGAUGAGUUCUCCCUGAGACUUUAGGUCUCCUGAAGGAACGUUGAAGACGACGACGUUGAUAGGCCGGGUGUGUAAGCGCAGCGAUGCGUUGAGCUAACCGGUACUAAUGAACCGUGAGGCUUAACCUUACA
rnacentral:rRNA from 1 species